CAGGUGCAGAAUCUUGGUGGUAGUAGCAACUAUUCAAACGAGAGCUUUGAAGGCCGAAGUGGAGCAGGGUUCCAUGUGAACAGCAGUUGAACAUGGGUCAGUCGGUCCUAAGCGAUAGGCGAGCGCCGUUCUGAAGGGACGGGCGAUGGCCUCCGUUGCCCUCGGCCGAUCGAAAGGGAGUCGGGUUCAGAUCCCCGAAUCCGGAGCGGCGGAGACGGGCGCCGCGAGGCGCCCAGUGCGGUAACGCAGCGAUCCCGGAGAAGCCAGCGGGAGC
rnacentral:rRNA from 1 species